GAUGAAGAACGUAGCGAAAUGCGAUAAGUAAUGCGAAUUGCAGAAUUCAGUGAAUCAUCGAAUCUUUGAACGCACAUUGCGCCCGCUAGUAUUCUGGCGGGCAUGCCUGUCUGAGCGUCAUUUCAACCCUCGCCCCCGGCUUUUGCUGGGAGCGGUGUUGGGGAUCGGCCGCCCGUCACUGGGAGGCCGGCCCCGAAAUAGAGUGGCGACCACGCCGUGUGCUCCUCUGCGUAGUAGUAAAUCACCUCGCAGGCGGACAGCGGUGCGGCCUGCCGUAAAACCCCCAACUCUUUCUGGUUGACCUCAGAUCAGGUAGGAAUACCCGCUGAACUUAAGCAUAUCAUAAGCGGAGGA
rnacentral:misc_RNA from 1 species